GACGAACGCUGGCGGCGUGCUUAACACAUGCAAGUCGAACGGAAAGGCCCUGCUUUUGUGGGGUGCUCGAGUGGCGAACGGGUGAGUAACACGUGAGUAACCUGCCCUUGACUUUGGGAUAACUUCAGGAAACUGGGGCUAAUACCGGAUAGGAGCUCCUGCUGCAUGGUGGGGGUUGGAAAGUUUCGGCGGUUGGGGAUGGACUCGCGGCUUAUCAGCUUGUUGGUGGGGUAGUGGCUUACCAAGGCUUUGACGGGUAGCCGGCCUGAGAGGGUGACCGGCCACAUUGGGACUGAGAUACGGCCCAGACUCCUACGGGAGGCAGCAGUGGGGAAUAUUGCACAAUGGGCGGAAGCCUGAUGCAGCAACGCCGCGGGCGGGAUGACGGCCUUCGGGCUGUAAACCGCUUUCGCCUGUGACGAAGCGUGAGUGACGGUAAGGGGUAAAGAAGCACCGGCUAACUACGUGC
rnacentral:rRNA from 1 species